GUGAAUCAUCGAAUCUUUGAACGCAAAUUGCACUCCCUGGUAUUCCGGGGGGUAUGCCUGUUUGAGGGUCGUUAGAACAAAAAUCGAAGCGGCGCUCGUUUUGUUUAAGGGUGUGCCCGGCGGAAUUGAACCGUCUUUCAAAGGUUAAUUCAUGUCAAAGUGGCUUGAAAUUCAUCCAUCCGGUACGUUUAAAGCGUAUUGAAGAUCAACUUUGGUUAAUAACGCGCGAUGAAC
rnacentral:misc_RNA from 1 species